UGGCAGUCAGAGGCGAUGAAGGGCGUGCUAAUCUGCGAUAAGCGCCGGUAAGGUGAUAUGAACCGUUAUAACCGGCGAUACCCGAAUGGGGAAACCCAGUGUGACUCGUCACACUAUCAUUAACUGAAUCCAUAGGUUAAUGAGGCGAACCGGGGGAACUGAAACAUCUAAGUACCCCGAGGAAAAGAAAUCAACCGAGAUUCCCCCAGUAGCGGCGAGCGAACGGGGAGGAGCCCAGAGCCUGAAUCAGCAUGUGUGUUAGUGGAAGCGUCUGGAAAGGCGCGCGAUACAGGGUGACAGCCCCGUACACAAAAGCGCAUGUGCUGUGAGCUCG
rnacentral:rRNA from 1 species